rfam:Nematostella vectensis strain CH2 x CH6 NEMVEscaffold_279_Cont22157, whole genome shotgun sequence.
UUUGUUUUCUUGCCAUUGUAUUUCCAGGUGUGAGGUUUUGUUUUUAUCAUAUCCAGGAUGACAGUGGCAAAACCACAACC